ACUUGAAGGGGGCAGCUACACAUGCAGUCGAGCGAGCUCUUCGGAGCUAGCGGCGGACGGGUUAGUAACGCGUGGGAACGUGCCCUUCACUGCGGAAUAGCCACUGGAAACGGUGAGUAAUACCGCAUACGCCCUUCGGGGGAAAGAUUUAUCGGUGAAGGAUCGGCCCGCGUUAGAUUAGAUAGUUGGUGGGGUAACGGCCUACCAAGUCUACGAUCUAUAGCUGGUUUUAGAGGAUGAUCAGCAACACUGGGACUGAGACACGGCCCAGACUCCUACGGGAGGCAGCAGUGGGGAAUCUUGGACAAUGGGCGCAAGCCUGAUCCAGCCAUGCCGCGUGAGUGAUGAAGGCCUUAGGGUCGUAAAGCUCUUUCGCCAGAGAUGAUAAUGACAGUAUCUGGUAAAGAAACCCCGGCUAACUCCGUGCCAGCAGCCGCGGUAAUACGGAGGGGGUUAGCGUUGUUCGGAAUUACUGGGCGUAAAGCGCACGUAGGCGGAUCAGAAAGUUGGGGGUGAAAUCCCGGGGCUCAACCCCGGAACUGCCUCCAAAACUCCUGGUCUUGAGUUCGAGAGAGGUGAGUGGAAUUCCGAGUGUAGAGGUGAAAUUCGUAGAUAUUCGGAGGAACACCAGUGGCGAAGGCGGCUCACUGGCUCGAUACU
rnacentral:rRNA from 1 species